GUGUUUGCGAGAGAACUUUUUCUAACUCCCAAGUAAAGUCUUGUUUCCUAGCUAAAAUAUACUUGGAUGAGUUUAGAACAAAUCCAAAAUGGGAUGUUUCAGCCAUACAAGCUCAUGUUAGAAAGGACACUAUUGUAGAUGUCAGUAGGAGCUAAGUCUAUAGAGCCAAAAGGAAAGCCACAGAGAUCAUUGAAAGAGAUGAAAGGCUACAGUAUGGGAAGCUGGGGGAUUAUGCAGAAAUGAUUGGGAUGAAAAAUGUUGGAAGUCAUGUCAUUUUGCAUUAAUUGUGAAACUUCUCAUGAGGGUCAGUAGCUUGUUUUUAAGAGGAUGUAUAUCAGGUAUCAUGCCCAAAAGGUGGGAUUCUUGUCUGG
rnacentral:lncRNA from 1 species